AUUGAACGCUGGCGGCAGGCCUAACACAUGCAAGUCGAGCGGAGCGGCGGACGGGUGAGUAAUGCCUAGGAAUCUGCCUGGUAGUGGGGGAUAACGUCCGGAAACGGGCGCUAAUACCGCAUACUAGCAGAUGAGCCUAGGGCGGAUUAGCUAGUUGGUGGGGUAAAGGCCUCACAAGGCGACGAUCCGUAACUGGUCUGAGAGGAUGCUGAGUCACACUGGAACUGUGACACGGUCCAGACUCCUACGGGAGGCAGCAGUGGGGAAUCUUGGCCAAGUGGCGAAAGCCUGAUCCAGCCAUGCCGCGUGUGUGAAGAAGGUUUUCGGAUUGUAAAGCACUUUAAGUUGGGAGGCGUUACCAACAGAAUAAGCACCGGCUAACUCCGUGCCAGCAGCCGCGGUAAUAC
rnacentral:rRNA from 1 species